GUCCACGCCCUAAACGAUGGGCACUAGGUGUGGGAGGUAUCGACCCCUCCCGUGCCGCAGCUAACGCAUUAAGUGCCCCGCCUGGGGAGUACGGUCGCAAGAUUAAAACUCAAAGGAAUUGACGGGGGCCCGCACAAGCGGUGGAGCAUGUGGUUUAAUUCGACGCAACGCGAAGAACCUUACCUGGGCUUGACAUCCCUGGAACCCCUGUGAAAGCAGGGGGUGCCUAGAAAUAGGAGCCAGGAGACAGGUGCUGCAUGGCUGUCGU
rnacentral:rRNA from 1 species